rnacentral:rRNA from 1 species
UACGAAGGUCCCAAGCGUUAUCCGGAUUAUUGGGUUUAAAGGGUGCGUAGGCGGGUUAUUAAGUCAGUGGUGAAAGCUCCAUGCCUAACAUGGAAAUUGCCAUUGAUACUGAUGAUCUUGAGUACAUUUGAAGUGGGCGGAAUGUGUCAUGUAGUGGUGAAAUACUUAGAUAUGACACAGAACACCGAUUGCGUAGGCAGCUCACUAAACUGUAACUGACGCUGAGGCACGAAAGCGUGGGGAGCAAACAGG